ACUCAAAUGAAUUGACGGGGGCCCGCACAAGCGGUGGAGUAUGUGGUUUAAUUCGAUGCAACGCGAAGAACCUUACCUGGCCUUGACAUGCACGGAACCUUGCAGAGAUGCGAGGGUGCCUUCGGGAACCGUGACACAGGUGCUGCAUGGCUGUCGUCAGCUCGUGUCGUGAGAUGUUGGGUUAAGUCCCGCAACGAGCGCAACCCUUGUCCUUAGUUGCCAGCACGUAAUGGUGGGAACUCUAAGGAGACUGCCGGUGACAAACCGGAGGAAGGUGGGGAUGACGUCAAGUCCUCAUGGCCCUUACGGCCAGGGCUACACACGUACUACAAUGGUCGGUACAGAGGGUUGCGAUGCCGCGAGGCGGAGCCAAUCCCAGAAAGCCGAUCCCAGUCCGGAUCGAAGUCUGCAACUCGACUUCGUGAAGUCGGAAUCGCUAGUAAUCGCGGAUCAGCCAUGCCGCGGUGAAUACGUUCCCGGGCCUUGUACACACCGCCCGU
rnacentral:rRNA from 1 species